rnacentral:rRNA from 1 species
UUUACCGGCCACACCACCCUGAGCGCGCCCGAUCUCGUCUGAUCUCGGAAGCUAAGCAGGGGUCCGGGCCUGGUUAGUACUUGGAUGGGAGACCGCCUGGGAAUACCAGGUGCCCGUAAGC